AACGAACGCUGGCGGCAUGCCUAACACAUGCAAGUCGAACGAUGCCUUCGGGCAUAGUGGCGCACGGGUGCGUAACGCGUGGGAAUCUGCCUUUCGGUUCGGAAUAACUCAGGGAAACAUGAGCUAAUACCGGAUAACGUCGCAAGACCAAAGAUUUAUCACCGAAAGAUGAGCCCGCGUAGGAUUAGCUAGUUGGUGAGGUAAAGGCUCACCAAGGCGACGAUCCUUAGCUGGUCUGAGAGGAUGAUCAGCCACACUGGGACUGAGACACGGCCCAGACUCCUACGGGAGGCAGCAGUGGGGAAUAUUGGACAAUGGGCGAAAGCCUGAUCCAGCAAUGCCGCGUGAGUGAUGAAGGCCUUAGGGUUGUAAAGCUCUUUUACCCGGGAAGAUAAUGACGGUACCGGGAGAAUAAGCCCCGGCUAACUCCGUG
rnacentral:rRNA from 1 species